rnacentral:lncRNA from 1 species
GGGACCCAGGCGCUGGAAGGCGCGGCGCCCCGAACGCCCCGGGCCCUGGGGAGCACACAGAUUCCCGGGCGUGCCCCGGCCGUGCUGGCUGGGGAGCUGCAGGGGUCUGGUCCCGCAGGUAGAGCCAGUGAACGCGAGGCUCCGCAGGUAGAGCCGGUGAACGCGAGGCUCCGCACCUUGCCCCGGCCGCCGCGCCCUGCUUGCUCGGCCCCGCGCAGCUGUAAUGGGGGACCCUAGAGCGAAGAACCCUCGAGCGAAGAACUCUCGGGGAUCGCGGCCUCCGAAGGCCCCAUCCGGCAGAGGAGGCCCCCUGCUGCCUCCCCACCGCAGCUCCCCUAGGCGCAUGCUGGACUCCCAAGUCUUCCCUGGCGGUCCCCGACAUUCUGCUUACCUGGCUAACACAAAGUUCAUCCAGCCUCCUGUGGCCCAGCCUUUCACCAAUGCCAAUAGUGGGAAGCAACAAUUAAGAAGAAGUGAUUCUGAGAAGAUAAAUGCAGUCAUCUUCUUGCCUUACUGUUAUGUGGUCACAUCCCAUAGGAAACCAGACACCUGUGCCUGAAGCUGAUCCACACAACACCCCCCACCUCCUCAAACCCCCACCCCCAUCUGUGUGAACGUGUGUGGGCCGGGGGAAAAAGAAGAACAAGGAAGGUCUGUGACUAUAUGUUUGGACCACAUGGCUGUGAUCCCUACCACCACUUAGUGACAGCAUACAUGAAUUGCAUGCUUAAUGCCGAUACCAUUCAGCCUAGAGGGGCUCCUGGACCAGGCCAGAUUUCCUACAAGGUGUUACCAAGUGGAGUUGGAAACUUGUCACCUCCUCACACCCUAACUUAUUUUUUAAAAAUAACAUAUGACUUUCCUAUAUAGGACAGAAGAUUAAUGCAUUGUUUUAUAAGCUGAACAAGAUGUUCCUUUACAAAACUUCCAAAUGACAGAAUACUAAUUUUUCCUUCACUCUUUGGCUGACUGUAAAAAUGUGCUUAAUUAAUAAAGACAUGUCCUCUCUCUGUGGGGAUGGCAGAAUAA